rnacentral:lncRNA from 1 species
GUUGAUGUAGAAUGGUGUAGAAUGGUGUUUAGGGUUGUGGCAAAAGUGUUUCUGAAUGGUAUGAGAGGUGGUGACGAAAUUGUGGCUGAAUAUAUAUAUAUAUAGGUUCCGCCAACCCUAGGGUUAAUCAGAUUAGGGUUACAACUUAGCAGAUUUUAAGGAUUAGGGCCCCAGGGUUUGGCACAAUUAAUUAAAUCCACUAAAGAAAGGGUUUGGCCCAAUUAAUUUCAGAAAAGGAUUUGUAUAACCCAAAUCCACAAGGAAUAAGGUUAACAAAAUCAAAAUCCAAGGGGAAUUGGAUGAGGAAGGGUGUGGCACUGAUUUGGAAGGAAAAUGAAUGGCUUGCAAGGCAAGGCAAAAGCCUUCUAGAAGGGAAUAGGCGCCACUUUUAUAGGGUUUCUAGAAACAAUGUGUUUUGUGGCUGAUUUGGGACUUCUAAAAGGGAAUUCUUCUAUAAAUAGCUUCUAGAAAUAGAUAUUUAGGUCCCCUUGCAGCUAGAUUUAAGGUAUGAUGAGAUUAGGAUAGGAUAAGAUAAGAUAAGGUUAGUUUGGAUAAGAUAAGGUUGGAUAAAGUUUUGGAUAAUGUUUCCUCUUUUGAGCUGAUUCCUUAUCUUCUUUGUCUUGAAUUUAAUUUCUUCAUCUUCUUAUCAGAUUCCUAGCUUUUUGAACUCCAAAUUCGUCCAUCCAUCUUGGCCCAUACAUGUGCUAUCCAUUUAGUGCCCAAAACUGCUCCAAAAUGCUCUAAAAUGCACUUUCUUGCCAACUUUGUCAUUUGGACCUACAAACACACGAAAAUAGCUUAAAACACUAAAAUAAACACAAACUAACUAUGAAAACGCAAGAAAACAAGCUAACUAAGUCGCAUAAAUAUGCUCCUAUCAAAUUCCCCCACACUUAGCUUUUGCUAGUCCUCGAGCAAAACAAAGGAAACAAAACAAACAAAACAUAACCGAAACCUUCCAACAUUCACCUCAGGGAUUUCCAAUGGAACAUGACAUGCUAAAAAUCACUACUCACGUAGAUUUUAGUUAUCCUUACCCUCGAGCACAUACUUAAUCACAGUCAUCACUCAUUAGCUCGCAUUUAAUCAAUUAAAACAAUGUUUUUGAAUGUAGUAAAAUGCCUUAGAGAAUUCCCUCAAUUAAUCACCGAAUAUACACUCUAUUUUCACACAUAUUUUCUUACUACACUCCCUAUACUAGGUAUAUGUGAGAAGAUUGAUGUAAACAUGAAAACUAACACUCACAUAUGUUAUCAUCAAAGAAAGCAAUUUCUGGAGUUAUUAACAUAAACAUGUAUAUGAUCUCAUGAAUGGAAUGCCACUACUUAGAUGCGAGAACCAGGGAUACCAUAUGCUUAUACCAAUCCUAAACUCCACAGAUUGAAACACAUAACAACCAAGAUAGAAGUUAAAGGGUUGUAACGGGGCUAAGGUAUUGGCUAACAAAGAAAGGUAAGGAUAAACAAAUGUUCUUAAAGCAAUAGUAAGCAAAGUAAUGAAAUCAACUUAAAAUACACUCUUGAAUGCAGCAAAUAACUUGAAAUACUAAGGGGAUUCGUACAACUUAGGGUCAUAUUCAAACUUUUUGGACCAUUUCUUCAACA